rnacentral:rRNA from 1 species
UAGCAUAUGCUUGACUUGGAGAUUAAGCCAUGCAUGUCUAAGUAUAAGUUAUAUAUGGCGAAACUGCGAAUGGCUCAUUAAAACAGUUAUAAUUUAUUUGAUGAUCUUUUUACAUGGAUAACCGUGGGAAACUAGGGCUAAUACAUGCGUAAGACCUUUUAGGUUGUAUUUAUUAGUUUCAAACCAAUAUGGUCUACCAUAUUGUGAGGAAUCAUAAUAACUGAUCGAAGCGCAGUAACAUGCGCUACAUCAUAUAAGUUUCUGCCCUAUCAGCUUGAUGGUAGUGUAUUGGACUACCACGGCAGUCACGGGUAGCGGGGAAUAGGGGUUCGAUUCCGGAGAGGGAGCCUGAGAAACGGCUACCAUUUCUACGGAAGGCAGCAGGCGCGUAAAUUACCCAAUCUUGACACAAGGAGGUAGUUAAUAGACAUAACAAGUCCGGCCUUUUGGUCUGGACAGGUAAUGAAUGCAAUUCAAAACAUUGCGUGAAAUCUACU